ACACACACACUCACACAAAGCUGCCCAUCGCUGAGGCCAUGCUGACCUGCAAACACAGAACGAGAGAUGAAGAUUCCUAUCAGAAAUUCAUUCCCUUCAUUGGGGUGGUGAAAGUGGGUUUGAUUGAGCCUGGCCAAUCAUCAGCAGGUGACUCUGAAGAGGGCGUGGCUGUGAGUUUAGCCGUCCCCUCCACGUCUCCGCCCUCUCACGGCUCACUCGGCGGGCU